GUAAAAAAAUAAAUUAAUAGAUCCGAUUUAUGUAAAUCUGGAGAGAUUCAAGUCCCUGCUACUGCUGAAGUGAACGCCGGAUUGUCCUCUCCCCGUGCGCUGCAGGCUGUGCUGCUUGGCGUGGUGGAGAUAGUGGGCGUAAAAGUGGGUCCAACUCCUGCUAAUAGAUACAAAAACACAGAUUUGUGACAACGAAUCAAAGGCCAAACUGACCAAUCAGUCAAACAAAAAACCACGGAACAUGGGCAAACACAGAACUGCGCAGCAAGAUGCCAUAUUCAUCGCAUUUAUGGAGAGACACCCAAUGAUAGCCAAAAACUACCUCAAGGGUGAUAAGCUGGCAG